rnacentral:rRNA from 1 species
UACAGAGGGUGCGAGCGUUAUCCGGAUUCACUGGGUUUAAAGGGUGCGUAGGUGGAUUGGUAAGUCAGUGGUGAAAUCUCUGGGCUUAACUCAGAAACUGCCAUUGAUACUAUCAGUCUUGAAUACCGUGGAGGUCAGCGGAAUAUGUCAUGUAGCGGUGAAAUGCUUAGAUAUGACAUAGAACACCAAUUGCGAAGGCAGCUGGCUACACGAAUAUUGACACUGAGGCACGAAAGCGUGGGGAUCAAACAGG